UAAACUGCUUUUAUUCGGGAAUAAACCUUUCUACGUGUAGGAAGCUGAAUGUACCGAAGAAAUAAGGAUCGGCUAACUCCGUGCCAGCAGCCGCGGUAAUACGGAGGAUCCAAGCGUUAUCCGGAUUUAUUGGGUUUAAAGGGUGCGUAGGCGGCUUAUUAAGUCAGGGGUGAAAGACGGUGGCUCAACCAUCGCAGUGCCCUUGAUACUGAUGAGCUUGAAUACACUAGAGGUAGGCGGAAUGUGACAAGUAGCGGUGAAAUGCAUAGAUAUGUCGCAGAACACCGAUUGCGAAGGCAGCUUACUAUGGUGUUAUUGACGCUGAGGCACGAAAGCGUGGGGAUCAAACAGGAUUAGAUACCCUGGUAGUCCACGCCCUAAACGAUGAAUACUCGCUGUUAGCGAUAUACAGUUAGCGGCUAAGCGAAAGKUUAAGUAUUCCACCUGGGGAGUACGCCCGCAAGGUGAAACUCAAAGGAAUUGACGGGGGCCCGCACAAGCGAGGGAGCAUGUGGUUUAAUUCGAUGAUACGCGAGGAACCUUACCCGGGCUUGAAAGUUAGUGAAUGAUCUAGAGAUAGAUCAGUGAGCAAUCACACGAAACUAGGUGCUGCAUGGCUGUCGUCAGCUCGUGCCGUGAGGUGUUUGGGUUAAGUCCCSCAACGGGCGCAACCCCUWUGUUUAGUUGCCAGCACGUUUAGGGKGGGGACUUUUAA
rnacentral:rRNA from 1 species